UAUAUAUAAUAUAUAUAUAUAUAUAUAUAUAUUGAUGGGUGAAUGACUUAUCCUAUGUUUACCAUCAACAUGGAAAAUUCGAUGAACCGAUACCAGGGUAGCAAAUUCACGUCAUAAAACACGUUUGAAGCGGCCUAUCCAAGGGUAGAAACUCCGGGUUCAUGUGCAGAAAUUUGUGUGUUAUAUAUGAAU